GGGACACGUGGUAUCCUGUCUGAAUAUGGGGGGACCAUCCUCCAAGGCUAAAUACUCCUGACUGACCGAUAGUGAACCAGUACCGUGAGGGAAAGGCGAAAAGAACCCCGGCGAGGGGAGUGAAAAAGAACCUGAAACCGUGUACGUACAAGCAGUGGGAGCCUCUUAAUGGGGUGACUGCGUACCUUUUGUAUAAUGGGUCAGCGACUUAUAUUCUGUAGCAAGGUUAACCGAAUAGGGGAGCCGAAGGGAAACCGAGUCUUAACUGGGCGUUAAGUUGCAGGGUAUAGACCCGAAACCCGGUGAUCUAGCCAUGGGCAGGUUGAAGGUUGGGUAACACUAACUGGAGGACCGAACCGACUAAUGUUGAAAAAUUAGCGGAUGACUUGUGGCUGGGGGUGAAAGGCCAAUCAAACCGGGAGAUAGCUGGUUCUCCCCGAAAGCUAUUUAGGUAGCGCCUCGUGAAUUCAUCUCCGGGGGUAGAGCACUGUUUCGGCAAGGGGGUCAUCCCGACUUACCAACCCGAUGCAAACUGCGAAUACCGGAGAAUGUUAUCACGGGAGACACACGGCGGGUGCUAACGUCCGUCGUGAAGAGGGAAACAACCCAGACCGCCAGCUAAGGUCCCAAAGUCAUGGUUAAGUGGGAAACGAUGUGGGAAGGCCCAGACAGCCAGGAUGUUGGCUUAGAAGCAGCCAUCAUUUAAAGAAAGCGUAAUAGCUCACUGGUCGAGUCGGCCUGCGCGGAAGAUGUAACGGGGCUAAACCAUGCACCGAAGCUGCGGCAGCGACGCUUAUGCGUUGUUGGGUAGGGGAGCGUUCUGUAAGCCUGUGAAGGUGUGCUGUGAGGCAUGCUGGAGGUAUCAGAAGUGCGAAUGCUGACAUAAGUAACGAUAAAGCGGGUGAAAAGCCCGCUCGCCGGAAGACCAAGGGUUCCUGUCCAACGUUAAUCGGGGCAGGGUGAGUCGA
rnacentral:rRNA from 1 species